rnacentral:rRNA from 1 species
UACGGAGGGUGCAAGCGUUGUCCGGAUUCAUUGGGUUUAAAGGGUGCGCAGGCGGGACAUUAAGUCAGGGGUGAAAGACGGUUGCUCAACAAUCGCAGUGCCUUUGAUACUGGUGUUCUUGGGUGACGGUGAGGUAGGCGGAAUGGGUGGUGUAGCGGUGAAAUGCAUAGAUACCACCCAGAACUCCGAUUGCGAAGGCAGCCUACUGGUCGUUAACCGACGCUCAGGCACGAAAGCGUGGGGAUCAAACAGGAUUAGAAACCCCGGUAGUCC